AUCAAGUCCCUCUCUUGCCACAAUAUAAUUGACGCCACUCACGUCUCAGUGAUGGACUGUGACACUGCCGAUAACAGUUCUCUGCUUGUUUCGCAAGUCACUGAAUUUGUCUUGUGCUGCUCUUAGUAAUGCUGGUUGUCCUCCUCUGUUCUAGUUCUGGUUCCACCUGCUCCUGCUUCAUUUCUCUGGAUUCCGCAGUCACCUCCAGUCCCUGUGCCAUUCAGUGGUUUGGAAUCCUUCAGCCUGUGCUGUUUCCUCUCUCCUGGUGUCCAUCCACACUCAUCUGUUGCUGCAUCUCGCCAUUCACCAUCUGGGCUCCAAUCCGUCAGCCGAGAACCAUCUUCCACCACUGCUAUGAACCUAGUCCGAGCAUCUCAUGCAGCAUUUCGUGAGUUUAUUCUAGUCUCACAGUAAAAACUUUCCCUCGUUCGAGUUCCUGGUUUGUAUCAAAAAACAGUUUCGUUAAUUCUCUGAAAAUACUCUGUUUUUGAGCUGUUUCUUCGCUUUGAGUUCUUUGUCUCUAGUUAUCGUGUAGUUUGAUAGUGUAGUCUUUCUUGCCUGGGUGUUACCCAAUGCAAGUUGGUUUUUUCAGUUAUGUAAUUAGCCCUCCCCGCCUAUAGUAGUCUCCAGUUGUUCGCGAUCUAUUUUUGUUUUAGUACUUCCUGUUGUAGUCCUCAGUUUUUGUUUUGUAGUUCUUUUAUGGAGAUUUUUUUUAAAUAAAACCUUUUUGCAUUCAGGUUCUGUCUGUUCAUUUCCUGCGCUUGAGCCACUCCGAACUCGUAACAUUACAAUUGGGCCAUAACAUGAGCUCAGCAGGAAAUGAUACAGCUACAGAUGGAACCUCCGGUCUAACGCUCCAGGAAGCUCUGUCUAGUUUAGAUGCGGCUCUAGGCCAACACGACGCUAUGCUGCGUUCGCUUUCUUCCAGUAAUGCUGCAGUGUGCAAACCGCUAUCCACCUUUACAGAAAAGGUGAAUCAGCUUUCGGUUCAGACCGCACCGGUCGCGCCAGCAGUAAAUACGGCGACCAUUGAGAAACCGCACGCACCUACUCCUGAGCGAUAAAACUGUGAUUUCGGUACUUGUAAGGCUUUCCUCACACAGGUUUCUCUAGUUUUUGAACUACAACCUCAUUCUUAUGCUUCCGAUAGAUCUAAAAUAGCGUACUUAAUCGGGUUAUUAACUGGAGAUGCUCGAGACUGGGGAGCAGCUGUGUGGAAACGUCAAGGGCCCUUAUGCAAUUCCUACACGGCUUUUGUGAAUGAGAUGCAGAAUAAUUUUUAUCACCCAGUCAGCGGCAGAGAUGCUGCCACCAGGCUUGGAACCAGCCAACAAGGAACCUGCUGUGUGGCCGAAUUUGCACGCGAGUUUCGUACUCUGGCAGCUGAAGUGGACUGGAAUGAUUCUGCGUUGAGAAGUGCGUUCUACCGAGGCUUAAAUGAGGUCUUAAAGGAUGAACUCACUCAGAGACGAACCAACUUCGCUAGACCUCUGGAUUGCUCUCACAAUCAAAUUGGACAAUCGCAUGCGAGAGACGACGGGAGAAGAGAGCCCGUUCUUCGGGGAGUUCUGUUCCUGCUACACCUGUCAGAAGACCACCUCCUCCGGAAUCUACAUCCGAGGAACCGUAGCCAAUGCAACUCGGCCACGCAAAGCUGACCACCCAGGAGAAGGAACACCGGCGAGAGACUCGACUUUGCCUUUAUUGUGGAGAGCCGGGUCAUUUCAUUGCUGCCUACCCUCGACGAUCAGCAAAAGGGAAGGCUCACCAGUAAAGAGGGAGUUUCUGUUGAGCUGAGCGGCAACGUCUCCCCUGCAACGACUCCAGUUACAGACCACACGCUGCUGGGGUUCUGUUUCUCUACCGGUGUCGGCUCUGGUGGACUCUGUGGCCAAGGAAUGUUUUCUUGACACCAAUUUGAACCUGGAGGAGCGCGUCAGCCAUGUCCGACAAGUGUUUGAGAGACUACUGAAAAAUCCGCUUUUUGUAAAAGCCGAGAAAGGUGAGUUUCAUGCUACUACUGUUACCUUUCUUGGAUAUGUAACGUCCCCAGGUCAGAUCCAGAUGGGCCCAAGGAAAUUGUCUGCAGUCCUCGAUUGGCCAGUUCCUGAAAACAGGAAGUAGCUCCAAUGCUUCCUUGGCUUUGCAAAUUUCUACAGGAGGUUAAUCAGGGACUUCAGCAAGGUAGCAACUCCUCUUACUGAACUAACCUCCACUAACAGGUUGUUUAAAUGGUCACCAGAGGCUGAGCUGGCAUUUCAAAAGUUGAAACGUUGGUUCACCACGGCACCUGUCCUCACCCAACCUGAUCCUGCUCUCCAGGUUAUUGUUGAGGUAGAUGCCCCCCUCUUUCGCCACCUCUUUCCCUUUUUAGAUUUGGUUCAGCAGUGCAGUGGCAGCAGCAGGUGAUCCUCAUCUUCAAUCUUCAUCAGCUGGUACAGGAGCAGGUGGUGUCUGCCAAUCAAGUCCAUCUCUUGCCACAAUAUAAUUGACGCCACUCACGUCUCAGUGCUGGAUCGUGAUGCUGCCAUUCUGGUUCCACCUGCUUCGUUUCUCCGGAUUCCGCAGUCACCUCCAGUUCCUGUGCCAUUCAGUGGUUUGGAAUCAUUCAACCUGUGCCGUUUCCUCUUUCCUGGUGUCCAUCCACUCAUCUGUUGCUGCAUCUCGCCAUUCACCAUCUGGGCUCCAAUCAGUCAGCUGAGAACCAUCUUCCACCACUGCUGUGAACCUAGUCCAAGCAUCUCGUGUAGCAUUUCGUGAGUUUAUUCUAGUCUCACAGUAAAAACUUUGCCUCGUUCGAGUUCCUAGUUUGUAUCAAAUAGUUUCGUUAAUUCUCUGAAAAUACUGUUCUUGAGAAGUUUCUUUGCUUCGAAUUCUUCGUCUCUAGUUAUCGUGUAGUUUGAUAUUGUAGUCUUUCUUGCCUGGGUGUUAGCCAAUGUAAGAUUUUUUUUUUUUUUUUUUUUUUUCUUCAGUUGGGUAAUUAGACCUCCCCACCUAUAGUAGUCGCUAGUUGUUCACCAUCUAUUUUUGUUUGCGCAUUUCCUGUUUUAGUCGGUUUUUGUUUUGUAGUUCUAUGGAGAUUCUUUAAAUAAAACCUUUUUGCAUUCGAA